GACGAACGCUGGCGGCGUGCUUAACACAUGCAAGUCGAACGGAAAGGUCUGCUUUCCCUUGUGGAUUGCGGGUACUCGAGUGGCGAACGGGUGAGUAACACGUGAGUGAUCUGCCCCCAACUUGGGUAUAAGCCUGGGAAACUGGGUCUAAUUCCCGAUAGGACUGCAGGGUGGUGCCUGUGGUGGAAAACGAUUUUCUAGUGGUUGGGGAUGAGCUCGCGGCCUAUCAGCUUGUUGGUGGGGUAAUGGCCUACCAAGGCGGCGACGGGUAGCCGGCCUGAGAGGGUGGACGGCCACAUUGGGACUGAGAUACGGCCCAGACUCCUACGGGAGGCAGCAGUGGGGAAUAUUGCACAAUGGGCGGAAGCCUGAUGCAGCGACGCCGCGUGGGGGAUGACGGCCUUCGGGUUGUAAACUCCUUUCGACCGCGAGGAAGCCACCUGGUUGGAAGGGUGGUGACGGUAGUGGUAGAAGAAGCACCGGCUAACUACGUG
rnacentral:rRNA from 1 species